GCUUAUUCUCAGGGCGGGGUGUAAUUCCCCACCGGCGGUAAACCAGCCGUAUGUAUAUUGUUAUAUACGCGUUGGAAGCCCGCGAGCGCUCACCGUUUGGUUUACCGGCGAAUAGUUUGGUUUCCCAGCGUGAGGUCAGCAGAUCCGGUGUAAUUCCGGAGCCGACGGUUAGAGUCCGGACGGGAGAGAGUAACG
rnacentral:ncRNA from 1 species